rnacentral:tRNA from 1 species
CAGGGAGACAACACAAUGAUUUUGAUGCCUGAGUGCUUUUAUUCUUAGGCCGAAAUCCUGUCACCUUAGGUCGAUCGGUACCUCAGCUUUGAAGUCAAGGAUCAGCAGCAAUGUUGAUUGCUUGAUGGAGAUUUUCAGUUCCUAAACUUUGUCUAGGUCACACCCCAAAAGGGAUGAGACUCCUGGGCCAUUAGCUCAGGUGGUUAGAGCGCACCCCUGAUAAGGGUGAGGUCCCUGGUUCAAGUCCAGGAUGGCCCAUUCGGUGUUGGGGGUUUAGCUCAGUUGGUAGAGCGCCUGCUUUGCAAGCAGGAUGUCAGGAGUUCGAGUCACCUAACCUCCACUGACCGAACUUGAUUCCCAUCUCCAAUUUUUUGGAGUUGAGCUCGAUUGGAGUGUGAUUUAGAUGUGUCCGCUGGAUGACCCCAGCUUCCUGUCAUUCCAAGUUUUAGGUUGAUGCCUUGAAUUUGGUUGAUAAGAUGCUGGGCUCGGAUCAAGUGAUCAAGCAAUUGAUGAUUUGAUUUGAAGUUCUAGCAGAACCUUGACAACUGCAUAGGUGAGUCUGGAAAAAACAAAGCAUCUUACAGAUGCAUUGUUUUGAAUCUGAUCUUCUGAAAGGAGGAUUGGAUCUAGAACAAUGAAAAUUCUUUUGAGCAAGAGCCGAGACUCUUGAACGUUCUUUGAUUGGUGUCGAGCCAAUCAGAGUUUGAUCUUGUUUUUAGCAAUAAGAACUUGAAAAUCUGCUUUCAACGGCGGUAAGCGUUCAGGAGGUUAAUU